GAGGAGGUGCUUUGCUGGGGCCGAAGAACGACGGGAGGAGCUCGCGUCGCGACGGGAAAAGAAUGCGGUCCUCGGCAAGAUCCAAAACGCCGAUAGAGGUGGCUAGGGCACGGUUUUAGUUGGUUUGGAUGCGAAAGGAACAUGUGGGGCGCUACGGGAUGCUUUAUAGGGUCUCGGUUCGUGCAAAACGGCAAGGAAAUCGCGCUCCCGGAUUGGAUUUAGCCUGCUGUUCGUGACCGGCUUGGACUCGCCAGGGAGGAAGAAGGAAAGGGCGCUGACGUGUGGGCCCGUGCUGUCAGCGACCAAGGAAGAGAAGAGAGAAGGGGCGCGCUGGGCCGGGACUGGGAAGGAGCUGGGCUUCGGCCUGGAAGGCUUCCCUUUUUUUUUUCUGUUUUGUUUUAUUCUUUUUUUUUUAAAAAAAACCUUUUUCAAAAAGGAUUUUGAGGACAAUUAAAUAUAAACUAAAUACAAUCAACACAAAAUAAAAUAUGUCUCAGCAUGAAUGCACAAAAUCAUGUUACUAAGCUUAUGAUAAAUUUUAAAUUUCCACAAAAUUGUUUAUUUGCUACAUUAAAUGCUCACUAAAAUUCUUAAAUAAUUCAAAUUAAAUCCUAUUAAUUGAAAUUCAAAUUUUGGAUGUUACAAACUCUACCCCCCUUAAAAGAAUCUCGUCCUCGAGAUUGAGCCAGGUAAACACAAACCACUGUGUAGUUGUGACCCUUUCCAGUCAUCCUCUCUUUUCCAAGUUGCUUCUACCUCUAAAAACCGAUUCCAAUGCACUAACAAAUUCAUGUCUCUAGUCAAGUAACAUACCUGGUAACUUAUCUGAAAAUUUAUUCCCUACCCAGUCCUGAAGAUCAACACCAUCAUCCAGCUGAUUCACUGU
rnacentral:lncRNA from 1 species